ACUCCGUCAUCCAGGCUGGAGUGCAGUGGCUCUAUCUCAGCUCAUUGCAACCUCUGCCUCCCAAGUUCAAGUGAUUCUUCUGCCUCAGCCUCCCGAGUAGCUGGGAUUACACGACCACCAUGCCCAGGUGGUUCUUGCUAUGUUGCCCUGGCUGGUCUUCAACCCUUAGCCUCAAGUGAUCCUCCUGCCUCAGCCUCCCGAGUAGCUGGGAUUACAGAUACCUUGACUAUGAAUAAUAGUUUCAAUAAGGAAGACAGAAUGAGUUCUGACACGAUGGUUGGGAGCUGUGACAGGCAGACGAAAAAUGGAGCCAAAUGGCAUGGAGGUGCUGAAAGCAAUAUGUUUCACCAUACGGACUAUU
rnacentral:lncRNA from 1 species